AGAAAAUCCCGUUCAAAGGCCGAGAAGGGCAGGCAGCACUUGGGCAGAGGCCGGGCCUCCCACGAGCUUGGUGAACUGUAUUCCUCUGUCCAGAGCCCAGCUCCGCCCCAGGCACAGACCUGCCGGCUGAGCCCUGUGGAGGUGGCGAGAAUGAAUGCGGCUUCUUCAUGAAGGCUGAGUUUCUCAGUCACAAGGGGCAUUUCUGCCCCUCCUCAGAGUGCUGCAUCUAUGACAAAAUGCCACAAAGCUAAACAGUGAAACUUAGCGACUGGAGGCAGUGCUGGCGAGAGACCAUCCGGGUCCCCCGCGCCUGGGGGAAAGGUGCCCUGGAUGGAUGUUCAGUGGGGACACCGGCACAGACAGGACAGUCACCAAGACCCGACUAUCGCAGGCAAACUUCCCCACGCAGACCCGAAGCUCUCCCAAAGAACUACCAGAGCAAACUACCUUUCGUUCAGUGAAUACCAUGGGAUUGCAGAGCAGUAUGAAGGUCAGUGUGCCCAAGUUUCAAUGCCG